CCGAGUUGUCAGGACUCAGCCGCUCCAGGCUUGGGGCCGUGUCUGCCCCGACAUGGUUGGAAGACCAGACUGAGCCCCGAGAGCUCCAGGCAGAAGGAUUUCAACAGUUAAACUGCACACUUUGAGAGGAUUGAGGCUCCAUGCGCAGAGGGAGAAAACACUCUUACAGACACAUCUCGGCACCACAGACGUUGCAGGACGGCACUUUUCCCCAGGCUCCUCAGCUGUGAAGCAUAAGGGUGUUGCCUUUAAAUGGAUCAACA